rnacentral:tRNA from 1 species
GCCCGGGUGGCGGAAUUGGUAGACGCGCAUGGUUCAGGUCCAUGUGUCCGCAAGGACAUGGGGGUUCGACUCCCCCCUCGGGCACCA